AUUGAACGCUGGCGGCAGGCCUAACACAUUCAAGUCGAACGAGUGGCGGACGGGUGAGUAAUGUCUGGGAAACUGCCUGCUGGAGGGGGAUAACUACUGGAAACGGUAGCUAAUACCACAUACCAUCGGAUGUUCCCAGAAGGGAUUAGCUCGUAGGUGGGGUAAAGGCUCACAUAGGCGACGAUCCAUAGCUGGUCUGAGAGGAUGACCAUCCACACUGGAACGGCGACACGGUCCCGACUCCUACGUGAGGCAGCAGUGGGGAAUAUUGCACAAUGGGCGCAAUCCUGAUGCAGCCAUGCCGCGUGUAUGAAGAAGGCCUUCGGGUUGUAAAGUACUUUCAGCGGGGAGGCGUUACCCGCAGAAGAAGCACCGGCUAACUCCGUGCCAGCAGCCGCGGUAAUUC
rnacentral:rRNA from 1 species